UGUAGGUGAGGUCAAAUGACUGGCAUGGGACCUCUCAGUUGGUUGUGGUCAGACAGCAGUUGGACUGGGGUCACCUUGAAGGCUGCUUCACUCCCAUGUCUGUAUCAUGCACUGGGGAGACUCAGCAGAAAACACUAUUUGUGCUGUAUCGGUCAGAGCCAAUCACGUCAGCUGCUGUAACACACAACUGCAAGGUCUUGGUGCUGUAAGACCAAUUUUCACUCAUUUCUAGGCACUGUUUUAAGUGGUGUGAUGAAGCACUGAAUGGGAGAGACAAGAUUCUGUUUUCAGAGGAGCUCACAUUCUAACUGAGAAAGCUGAGAUGAGGAGAAGGA